CUCACAGUCCCCCUUUCUAUAGUGCAAGCUCGACUAGACAAUUUUGACAAUAGUGAUAUUAAGGCUCUGGCUGGUGCCAUGCAAUCUGCAUUUGGGGUGCCAGCUAGCCACAGGACUCAUCUGGAAAAAAACAACCGCCCAACCCUGAGAACUUUGGGAUUCAUGGGAAAUUACAGUUCCCCUGAUGAUGCAGGACCGGACCAGGAUUUCACUCAUCAACUGGCCUAGAUUAAGGAGAAAGAAAUCUACAUUUCUGAACCUGGUAAUGUCUGAGCAUAGUCAUGGAAGAAAGAGCUGGCCUAUGAGCACCAUCUACAUUCUUACCAUGACUGUGAGACUGAUACUGCCCACAAGGAUACCAGUACUGAGUGAUAAAGAACAUUUUGCUAAGUUGUUCUAUCGUGGUCCUUGCUUAAGGGAGAUUGUUGGAUGGAUGUUGUGGGAACUGAACUUGAAGAAGGAAGAGCCCAUCAUUUGGACACAUCUUAGGGCUUCCCAGCUGCACCAGGUUAUGGACAAGGGACCUGGAACCCCAACCCUUCCAGUCACUAACCACAUGGCCUGAGAUGUCAUUUCGUGCAGCUGGGCUCUUUGUGCUCAUCAGCAAGUGAUGUAAAGCAUGUGAGGUUAGCACACCGUACAUUCUCAAAUCCUGGAGCUACUGGUCCUCUUGUGACUAUUAUUAUUAUUAAUAUUGUAAUGA
rnacentral:lncRNA from 1 species